rnacentral:siRNA from 1 species
GAACGUUAUAUGUAGGUGCAACAC